rnacentral:rRNA from 1 species
AUUGAACGCUGGCGGCAGGCUUAACACAUGCAAGUCGAGCGGAGAUGAGGUGCUUGCACCUUAUCUUAGCGGCGGACGGGUGAGAAAUGCUUAGGAAUCUGCCUAUUAGUGGGGGACAACAUUCCGAAAGGAAUGCUAAUACCGCAUACGCCCUACGGGGGCAAGCAGGGGAUCUUCGGACCUUGCGCUAAUAGAUGAGCCUAAGUCGGAUUAGCUAGUUGGUGGGGUAAAGGCCUACCAAGGCGACGAUCUGUAGCGGGUCUGAGAGGAUGAUCCGCCACACUGGGACUGAGACACGGCCCAGACUCCUACGGGAGGCAGUAGUGGGGAAUAUUGGACAAUGGGCGGAAGCCUGAUCCAGCCAUGCCGCGUGUGUGAAGAAGGCCUUUUGGUUGUAAAGCACUUUAAGCGAGGAGGAGGCUACCUGGAUUAAUACUCUAGGAUAGUGGACGUUACUCGCAGAAUAAGCACCGGCUAACUCUGUGCCAGCCGCCGCCGUAAAAC